UGCACAGCUGUGGCACACUGUGGACGACGAAGCUAUCUUUAAAGGGACCAAAGUUUCUCUAAUACCAAGAGACCAAACCCCUUCCGAACCCUCCGUCUCCAUCAUGAGGUCAGAAAACAAGAGCAUUGCUGCUUGCCUGGCGAAAGAUUUCUACCCUAAAGAAGUGAAGAUAUCCCUGAAUUCUGACAGCCAAACUCUGUAUGAAGCAACAGAGCCCGUCCUCACAGCUAGUGGGAAAUACACGGCCAUCAAGGUUGUUGACUUGUCCCCCAAUGACCUCGUGUCGUGCUCCGUUCAGCAUAACCACAAACGUAUCGAGAAAAGCCAAACUACGGAGAAGCUGCCAGAUCUCACAUCGCCUGCUCCCACAGCCAUUGCGACUGAGCCGUGCCCCGUCUCGAACUCCAGUCUCGAAGAUCCAAAUGAGGAGAAAAGCAUGAAGACACUCUCCGCAGCCCUGCUGGGGUUGGAAAUUGUGCUGGCAAAGAGUAUAAUCUUCAAUGUGAUCAUGAUUGGAAGGCUAGGCUUCGAGGUUUGCAAGAAAGCGCAAGGAAGGCCCUGAGAAGCAAAGGAAAAUCUCUGUCCUCUUUGUUCAU